rnacentral:tRNA from 1 species
GGAUAUAGCUCAGUGGUAGAGCACAUGCUUAGCAUGCAGGAGGUCCUGGGUUCAAUCCUCAGUACUUCCA